UUUAUGGAGAGUUUGAUCCUGGCUCAGGAUGAACGCUGGCGGCGUGCCUAAUACAUGCAAGUCGAGCGAACGGACGAGAAGCUUGCUUCUCUGAUGUUAGCGGCGGACGGGUGAGUAACACGUGGAUAACCUACCUAUAAGACUGGGAUAACUUCGGGAAACCGUAGCUAAUACCGGAUAAUAUUUUGAACCGCAUGGUUCAAAAGUGAAAGACGGUCUUGCUGUCACUUAUAGAUGGAUCCGCGCUGCAUUAGCUAGUUGGUAAGGUAACGGCUUACCAAGGCAACGAUGCAUAGCCGACCUGAGAGGGUGAUCGG
rnacentral:rRNA from 1 species